rnacentral:rRNA from 1 species
AAUAAUUUAUUUGAUGGUUUCUUACUACAUGGAUAAUUGUAGUAAUUCUAGAGCCAAUACAUGCGUAAAGUCCCGACUCUCGCGGGGAGGGAUGUAUUUAUUAGAUAAAAAACCAAUGCGGGCUCUGCCCGGUUUUGUGGUGAAUCAUAGUAACUUUUCGAAUCGCAUGGCUUCACGCCGGCGAUAGUUCAUUCAAAUUUCUGCCCUAUCAGCUUUCGACGGUAGUGUAGUGGACUACCGUGGCGUUAACGGGUAACGGAGAAUUAGGGUUCGAUUCCGGAGAGGGAGCCUGAGAAACGGCUACCACA